rnacentral:rRNA from 1 species
UUGAACGCUGGCGGCAUGCCUUACACAUGCAAGUCGAACGGCAGCACGGGGGCGACCCUGGUGGCGAGUGGCGAACGGGUGAGUAACGCAUCGGAACGUACCCGGAAGUGGGGGAUAACGUAGCGAAAGUUACGCUAAUACCGCAUACGUCCUGAGGGAGAAAGCGGGGGAUCGCAAGACCUCGCGCGAUUGGAGCGGCCGAUAUCGGAUUAGCUAGUUGGUGAGGUAAAGGCUCACCAAGGCGACGAUCCGUAGCUGGUCUGAGAGGACGACCAGCCACACUGGAACUGAGACACGGUCCAGACUCCUACGGGAGGCAGCAGUGGGGAAUUUUGGACAAUGGGGGCAACCCUGAUCCAGCCAUUCCGCGUGAGUGAAGAAGGCCUUCGGGUUGUAAAGCUCUUUCAGCAGGAACGAAACGGUGGUCCUUAAUACGGGCUACUAAUGACGGUACCUGAAGAAGAAGCACCGGCUAACUACGU